GGGGCUGUAGCUCAGUUGGCAGAGCGAGGGACUCUUAAUCCUAAGGUCGCUGGUUCGAAUCCAGUCUGCCCCACCA
rnacentral:tRNA from 1 species